rnacentral:misc_RNA from 1 species
GAGCACGAGCUGAGUGAUUCUGCUAGUAUGAGGCCAUUUGCUCUCAGGUUUGCUUCUCGAAACUUUAAUGGCCUUAACCAGGUUGGCAAAUUCUUGAAACAUAUAACCCUCUUGUGGUAACUGAGAAGUUACUUCAACUACCUGAGGUUUCACAUUCCAUCCGAUAUGAAGAUCCACAAACUUAGCACCAGAUGUGAAAUUGAACGAAGCAGAGUCCUCUUCAAACGGGAUAAUGAAGUCAU